rnacentral:rRNA from 1 species
CAUAGCUUAAUGAUCAUAUUAGGUUAAUUCUGCUCAAUGAAUUUAAUAGCCGCAGUAACUUGACUGUGCUAAGGUAGCAUAAUAAAUUGGCCUUUAAUUGCGGUCUUGAAUGAAUGGUGCAUAUAUUAACUGUCUUAAAUAUUAUUUCUUAAUUUACUUAGUAGGUGAAAAUUCCUAUAUGUUAAGAAAGACGAGAAGACCCUUAGAAUUAUUACAAUUUUUGUUGGGGCGACAUAUAAUCAUAAAACAUUAUCAACUUACUUACGUAGCUAAUAUGAUUUAAUUACCUGAGGGAUAACAGCAUAAUCUUGUGUUUAUGACCUCGAUGUUGGACUAGGAAAAUUUGGUUAGCAAUCAAAUAUGUUCUGUUCGAACCCUACGUGAUCU